rnacentral:rRNA from 1 species
UGGGGAAUUUUGGACAAUGGGCGAAAGCCUGAUCCAGCAAUGCCGCGUGUGUGAAGAAGGCCUUCGGGUUGUAAAGCACUUUUGUCCGGAAAGAAAUCCUUGGCUCUAAUACAGUCGGGGGAUGACGGUACCGGAAGAAUAAGCACCGGCUAACUACGUGCCAGCAGCCGCGGUAAUACGUAGGGUGCAAGCGUUAAUCGGAAUUACUGGGCGUAAGCGUGCGCAGGCGGUUUGCUAAGACCGAUGUGAAAUCCCCGGGCUCAACCUGGGAACUGCAUUGGUGACUGGCAGGCUAGAGUAUGGCAGAGGGGGGUAGAAUUCCACGUGUAGCAGUGAAAUGCGUAGAGAUGUGGAGGAAUACCGAUGGCGAAGGCAGCCCCCUGGGCCAAUACUGACGCUCAUGCACGAAAGCGUGGGGAGCAAACAGGAUUAGAUACCCUGGUAGUCCACGCCCUAAAACGAUGUCAACUAGUUGUUGGGGAUUCAUUUCCUUAGUAACGUAGCUAACGCGUGAAGUUGACCGCCUGGGGAGUACGGUCGCAAGAUUAAAACUCAAAUGAAUUGACGGGGUCAUAGCUGUUUCCU